rnacentral:rRNA from 1 species
UACAGAGGGGGCAAGCGUUAUUCGGAAUUAUUGGGCGUAAAGGGCGCGUAGGCGGCUUUGCAAGUGACGGGUGAAAUCCCUCGGCUUAACCGAGGAACUGCCUGUCAAACUGCAUGGCUUGAGACCGGGAGAGGUGAGUGGAAUUCCCAGUGUAGCGGUGGAAAUGCGUAGAUAUUGGGAGGAACACCAGUGGCGAAGGCGGCUCACUGGACCGGUACUGACGCUGAUGCGCGAAAGCGUGGGGAGCAAACAGGG